CGUAGGGACCGAGCGUUGUCCGGAUUCAUUGGGCGUAAAGAGCUCGUAGGCGGCUGCUCAAGUCGAAUGUGAAAACUCGAGGCUUAACCUCGAGCCUGCAUUCGAUACUGGGCGGCUAGAGUCUGGUAGGGGGAUCUGGAAUUCCUGGUGUAGCGGUGGAAUGCGCAGAUAUCAGGAGGAACACCGGUGGCGAAGGCGGGAUCCUGGGCCAGUACUGACGCUGAGGAGCGAAAGCGUGGGGAGCAAACAGGAUUAGAUACCCUGGUAGUCCACGCCGUAAACGAUGGGCGCUAGGUGUGGGAGGUCAUCGACUCCUUCCGUGCCGCAGCUAACGCAUUAAGCGCCCCGCCUGGGGAGUACGGCCGCAAGGCUA
rnacentral:rRNA from 1 species